rnacentral:rRNA from 1 species
GACGAACGCUGGCGGCGUGCUUAACACAUGCAAGUCGAGCGGUAAGGCCCUUUCGGGGGUACGACGAGCGGCGAACGGGUGAGUAACACGUGGGUGACCUGCCCUCAGCUCUGGGAUAAGCCCGGGAAACUGGGUCUAAUACUGGAUAUUACUCUGCGGUGCAUGCCGUGGGGUGGAAAGCCUUGUGCGGCUGGGGAGUGGGCCCGCGGCCUAUCAGCUUGUUGGUGGGGUGAUGGCCUACCAA